rnacentral:rRNA from 1 species
AUUGAACGCUGGCGGCAGGCUUAACACAUGCAAGUCGAGCGGGGGAAGGUAGCUUGCUACCGGACCUAGCGGCGGACGGGUGAGUAAUGCUUAGGAAUCUGCCUACUAGUGGGGGACAACAUCUCGAAAGGGAUGCUAAUACCGCAUACGUCCUACGGGAGAAAGCAGGGGAUCUUCGGACCUUGCGCUAAUAGAUGAGCCUAAGUCGGAUUAGCUAGUUGGUGGGGUAAAGGCCUACCAAGGCGACGAUCUGUAGCGGGUCUGAGAGGCUGAUCAGGCCCACUGGGACUGAGACACGGCCCAGACUCCUACGGGAGGCAGCAGUGGUGAAUAUUGGAGAAUGGGGAGAACCCUGAUCCAGCCAUGCCGCGUGUGUGAAGAAGGCCUUAUGGUUGUAAAGCACUUUAAGCGAGGAGGAGGCUACUUUAGUUAAUACCUAGAGAUAGUGGACGUUACUCGCAGAAUAAGCACCGGCUAACUCUGUGCCAGCCGCCGCCGUAA